UACAGAGGUCGUCAAGCGUUUGUUCGGAAUUACUGGGCGGUAAAGCGCGCGCAGGCGGCCUUUCAAGUCAGGGGUGAAAGCCCGGAGCUCAACUCCGGAAUUGCCUUUGAAACUGAUCGAGGCUAGAGUACGGGGAGAGGUGAAUGGAAUUCCCAGUGUAGAGGUGAAAUUCGUAGAUAUUGGGAAGAACACCGGUGGCGAAGGCGGCAUCCUGGACCGAGAUGACGCUGAGGCGGCGAAAGCCAGGGGAGCAAAGCGGG
rnacentral:rRNA from 1 species